GCCGGCGGAGCUGCGCGCGGCGCACGCGGCGGGACACGCCGUGCUCAUCAAGCUCACCACCCCUGCAGCUACUGAUGUGACUGAUAGUUCUAAAUCCGAAGUAAACCGUUUGAAAGCAGCUCUGCAACAAGCGUUUAACUGCACCCUACGAGAUGAACAUAAGACGAUGUUGCACUACCACAUCGAGUCCCCGCUGCGCUACAGCGAGCUGUUCUCGGAGCUGGAGCGCCUCAAGGGCGAGUUCGCGCUGUUCGAGGACUACUCGCUGACGGAGACCACGCUCGAGGAAGUGUUCUUGUCUCUGGCGCGGGAGGACGGGCCCGCACCCGUCUAGACCAUGCACGUGUUAUAUUUAACUUUAAAACACUUUAAUUAUUUAAAUAACCUUUAAAUAAAAUUUGAAGGUCAAUCAGUUAAAAUGUCAUAUGCCGUGUCUAUGGCACUAAACGACUAUAUGUCUAAUAAUUUGUGUGCUAAAAAUAAAAAAUAUGUGUUGCACAAGGAAUCAGUAUUAAGCAUUCCAUUUAAACAUAUUUUCCAUAUAAAAAAUAUUUAUUAUCAAAGAAAUUCAUCCACCAUUUUUAAUUGUAUAGGUCUACUUAAUAUGAUGGUAACUUAAGUACUUUUAUGGAAAUGUGAUAUUUACAAGUUAUUAAGUAUAUUACGGUCUUAUAACUUUUGUAAAGUAUAUAAACAUUAUUCCGAAUUCGAGGCAAAAUUGGAAAUGCUCUGUCAAUUUUCGAAAUCUCAUUUUAAAAGCAUUAGCUUAACGUAUAGUCUCUCUAUAGUUUUAAAACGCGAACGAAUUAUUUGGUAAACUCUGUCCAAUUAAGAUACAAUAUGUCUCAUGUGCUCAAUUUCAAGAAGACAGCUACUCUUUUAUUCAGAUAAAAUACCGAUAAGUCAGAUAAAUACAUUUUAGUCAUACAUAUAAGAUUUGUAACUAUAUGAUUUAACUGUAAACCAAAUAAAUAACGGAUUUAUUUAUUUUUUAGAACUUAUAAAGCUGUCUAUUACCUGUGUUAAUUUUUAGCAACUAUUUCUAAGUCAUAACGCUGGCGGCACCACUGAUUUCGAAAGAAACCCUGUGCCAGUUAAACUAACGCGUCUGCGAUCCGGCGUCGGUCGUGUCGUUUCGUAUUUACAAAGUAUUGUAAAAAAUAUCUACAAGAAUGAUCAAAUAAUUAUCGAGUAAAAAUAUAAGUCACAGUGUGUAUAGAAUUUUUGUGUAAUAUUUAUACCGUAUUAUAGGUAUGACUGAUUGAAUGUAAUUUUUAUGAAAAUGUAUGCACUUAUGUCUAUUGGUAAAUUUCUGUAAAUAAAACAUUUAAAGAAAUACACAUUUUUUUUUUUAAAUAAAAUCCUACAUUUUCCAACUUGUAUUUUGUUGUAUUUUGAAAAUAAAAACUCUAAUUUUCUUUUAAUCUUUAAACUCUAAACGUCUUCUUGGACCAGUGAACAGUAAUCUGAUGACGCUAUCACUCAGCUAUCGCAGAAAUCGUUAUUAUGACACAAAAUAAUUUUUCGUAACUUUUGUAAUCACCAGAAAGACGAUUACUAUUCCUUUCUUAAACGAGUGUGCAUUAAUAGUGCUUUAGACACGUCUGAAGUAAAACUAACUACUUAUCUCCUACAGGAAUAUACAAAUCGUAA
rnacentral:misc_RNA from 1 species